GAAAUACUGGAGUGGAUUGCCAUGCCCCCCGCCAGGGGUCUUCCCAACUCAGAGAUCGAACCCAUGUCUCUAUGUCUCCUGUAUUGGUAGGCAGGUUCUUUACCACUAGCACCACCUGGGAAGCCUCUAGGUAGAUUUUAUGGUAAUUCUGUUCUAUUUUUAAUAUUUUGAGGAACCUCCAUACUGUUUUCCAUAGUGAGUGUAGCAAUUUACAUUCCCACCCACAGUGCACAAGGGUUUUCUUCUCUACACAUUCUCACCAACAGUUGUAAUCUCUUACCUUUUUUAUAAUAGGGAUUCAACAAAUAGCUCAUUGUGGCUUUGAUUUGCAUUUCUGUGGUGAUUAAUGAUGCUGAGCACCUUUUCACAUACCUGUUGUUUGGACCUUUUUAAAAUAUGAUUUCUUAUAGUUAUGUUUUAAGAGUUCUUUGGAUAAUACUCCUUUAUUACAUGUGUCUUUUGGAAAUAUUCUUCCAGUCUAUGGCUUGUCUUUUUAUUCUCUUGAGUUUCGUUUGCAGAACAGAAAUGUUAACUUUAAUGCAAGUUAAGCUUAUCAGUUAUUUCUUUCAUGAAUCAUGCUUUUGGUAUUAUACCUAUGCUCAAGGUUGUCUAGGCUUUCUCGUAUUUUAUCUUCUAGGAGUUUUAUAGUUUUGCAUUUUAAGUCUGUGAUCCAUAUCGAGUUAAUUCUUGUGAAAGGUGUAAGACAGUAUCUAGAAUUAUUUUUUCCAUGUGGAUGUCUAGUUGUUCCAGCACCAUUUGUUGAAAAGACAGUUUUUUUCUCCCUUGUAUUGCCAGAGCCCCAACAACCCUGUGUAAUACUUGAACCACAAGUGAGAAAUAAACCUUUAUUGAGCUCAUCAUUGAGACUGGAGAUUGUUAUUACAGUAUAAGGCAGCAAAAGCUGCCAGAACACAAGUGUGAAAAAAGAUGGAAGUUUCAAAACAGGGAGAAGUUUAUAGUGUGGGUGGCUCAAUUUCAGUAAAGGUGAUCCUCUUGGGGAGCUCUACAUGGGGCUUCCCAGGUGGCACGAUAGUAAAGAACUCACCUGCCCAUGCAGGAGACCCAGGUUCAAUCUCCUGGAGGAGGAAAUGGCAACCCACGCUAGCGUUCUUGCCUGGAAAAUUCCUUGGACAGAGGAGCCCGUAGACUACAGUCCAUGGGGUCGCAAAGAGUCGGACACAACUGAGCACUCACACACCUCCCACUGUCCCUUGUUAGCAUCAGCAUCAACUGAGACAACUGACUGCCUUUAUGCAGCUGUGAUUCUAAGGCUUGAAGACCAUUUUCCUACUUGGGACAGUCUUGUGGGAGAUGUGCAAAAAGGUAGAUUCACUUUCUGGAUUAUUUAUAAUUCCAGAGUGCAGCUCGUUCAUAAUAUAACAAUCUCUAAAUCUAUGUGCUUUUUGCUUAUAG
ensembl:lncRNA